UACAGAGGGUGCGAGCGUUAAUCGGAAUUACUGGGCGUAAAGCGUGCGUAGACGGUUAUGUAAGUCAGGUGUGAAAUCCCGGGGCUCAACCUCGGAACUGCCUUUGAUACAGCACGUCUCGAGUCCGGAAGAGGUGGGUGGAAUUCCUAGUGUAGAGGUGAAAUUCGUAGAUAUUAGGAAGAACACCGGUGGCGAAGGCGGCCCACUGGUCCGGUACUGACGCUGAGGUGCGAAAGCGUGGGGAGCAAACAGG
rnacentral:rRNA from 1 species